CCAAGUCCCACUUCCUGCGCAACACAGCUGCAAGCAAACUUUAUUAAAUCUUGGAGUGGAUCUUUCCUGUCAGCCCGUCACAGACGUCAGCGGUGUUUGCUACAGCUCUGGAGGCAGUCUGCUGAAGGUAAGGACCUCCACAGCCGAAACCAGCUGUGUUUAACUAGCAGUCCAACAUCUAGUAUAUGCAGGUGGUAAUUUUACAACCGCACCAUGCUGCCCGGAGAUAAACAGAAAGGACCUUCCAGCAAAAGUCAGCUGUUUGAGUCUCUGAGGGUUUAUCUGGACAAGAAGGACAGAUUGCAACCCAUUAUUGGUCUGGGUAGUGUUAUAGAAUGUGUGAAGGCAGGUGCACAAGCACUGUACUUGUGUGAGGUGUGUAUAUGUCGACUUAGUAAAUCUGACAUGCGGAACCACAUUAUGGGAAGUCUGCACAGAUACAACUACAUUAAUAGCUGGUACCCUCACUUAAUGUCUGGGUGGAAGGAGAGCUCUGACCUUUCUAAACUGGCCAGGCCACUGAUGGACAUGGCCAAGAUUCUGGAGGGACAGGAGGGACCUGGAGAUGUUCAGCUGAUAGAAGUUGAAGAUGACGUGUACCAGAAGAUAUCAACACAUGGUGAAAAUGACGCAAUAACUCUGAUAAGUUCCUUAAGAGCUGAACCUGAGAGUAGUCCAGAGACUUCCUCCAGCCAAUCCCAAAGGAUAGUGCUGCUCGCCAAGCGCCCACAGAGACAACCUGGAAAAGCCUUCAAGCCUCUCAGGAGCUUAUACAAGACGAAAUAUCAGGUGUUGUUCGAAAAGUCCAGCCUUUCUGGAAGGAACAGCUGCUUUUUUGAAGGCUACACAGGAACCAAGCCUCUUAUUGGUCUUUGCUGUGUGGUGGAGUGUCAGAAUGAGGCUGGGCAGACAUGCGGUUUCUUAUGCCACUGCUGCCGCACUCGACCCAAGAAAGGAGGCAUCACUUAUCAUCUAACCAGCACCUCCCACGUCUACAACUACUUGAUGGAAGCUCACCCCGAGAAAGUGAAGUUUGUGAACGCAGCUGAUGAGAGCAGCCGUGGGAUUCUGGAGUCGCUGGCAGAGAAAGUGGAGGAAGACGAGGGAAGAGGAAACCCAAAGGUUGUAACUGCACCAGAAUCCAUCUGUACCCGCAUGGAAAAAAAAAGUUACAACUGGUGUGUGAGGAUGUUGUGUAAAUUAUCAAUCGGAACUAACUACCAGCAACAGGAAGCAGCUGUUGAUGGGCCUUUUCAAGGCGUGCCAUACGUACCUGUACAGGCUGUAGCACCGUCAAACUGGACACCGCAGAUUACAACUGGGAAGAGGAAGAAGAAAUCCAAGAAAGCGACUAAAACCGUGUUUAACGUAAGCCUGCCUUUCACCGACGGCGCACUGCUCCUGGAGAGGAGCCCCUUCAGCAACGAGCGUGUCCCCAUGUGUGCAUACUCGCCUUCGUCCCACCCAGCCGCCAGUCCUUCCCCAGAGUCCCAGACAGAGGGCCCUGAGCUGUUUGUAGGUAAUCACACCGACCACACGUCGGCCUGCGGGGCCGCACAACUUCAGCCAGACGUCUAUAAUAAUGAAGGAGGCGCUUGGCAAUAUGUGGCACCCAAAGAAAACCUCCGAGUGAGUGUUUAUCCAGAUGUGGAGCGUUCCUUUUGGGGUAAUGAAGAGGGUCACGGUGCAGUGGCCCAGAGUAAGACUGGCACCGAAGGGCAAGUAUCAGCUGAGAACCUCUCAGGUGCAGCUUGGCAUCAUUACCAACAGCCCCAGUACUCGGCACCAGGUUACGUGAACCUCACCGUGUGGCAAGCAACGCCGCCCGGCGUGGGGCAUCACGGCUCAUCCGAUGAAAUGGUUCCUUACGUGGAUGCAAGCAGGGUCGCUACGUAUCCCUCCCUGGGAUACUCCCAGCCGCACGCCGCUCCACAGCCUAGAGCACGGUUUCAUGGGGUUGAACAGAGACAAUUGCAACCAUACAUGGAGUUUACUGAACGUGUUCACGCAGCUCCUCACGUUAUGACCCCGGCUGCUCUCUAUCAGGACGGACGAUACGGCUAUGGGUUCACGGCUGACCCCAACUACCAUAUUAGACCUAGGACGAAUGAUAACCAGCCCUUUCCUGAUCCAGCCGGUGGUUUUGCUGUUAGGGCUGUGUACCAGCCAAACGCCCAUGUCCCACCAUGGGCACCUCUGUGCUACACAGCCCAGUCUAUGUGACUCUGAGCCACGGGUUUAUCAGAUGUAAAGAGUUCAGGAGGCGACGCAGGAACGGUUUAGCUCACGCAGUGCAACUCUUAAUUUAAAUGCUCGUAUAUUGUCAGGUGUGCGUUCUACUGAAGGAACCGCGCAUGGGUUCUAAUCAUGCUGUGGUAUUUUCUUUUAUGUUGCUCCAAGGAGAUUGGAUCUGGUUUCUGUCAUAAAUGAAGGAAUCUUGGCCUGAGUGCGUCUAAACUUUCCAAUUUAGUCCCUCCUCCACUCUAAAUUUUGCGUCAACUGGCAGAUUUUUUUUUGUUGAAAUAUAAUUAAGAAAUGAUCAAAUUUGCGUUUUUAUUUGUACAGAUUGUUUUGUUUUGAAAUGUAGCUUUCAAGUGUUUCACGGUCAACAAAGCUUGAGCAACAAGCAGUUGCUGAAAUGUGUUAUUAAGCAAUAAAAUACGUGACAAGCCAGUUCUGGUGUUCA
rnacentral:lncRNA from 1 species